rnacentral:rRNA from 1 species
AUUGAACGCUGGCGGCAGGCCUAACACAUGCAAGUCGAGCGGUAACAGGGGUAGCUUGCUACCCGCUGACGAGCGGCGGACGGGUGAGUAAUGCAUAGGAAUCUGCCCGGUAGUGGGGGAUAACCUGGGGAAACCCAGGCUAAUACCGCAUACGUCCUACGGGAGAAAGGGGGCUUUGGCUCCCGCUAUUGGAUGAGCCUAUGUCGGAUUAGCUAGUUGGUGAGGUAAAGGCUCACCAAGGCGACGAUCCGUAGCUGGUCUGAGAGGAUGAUCAGCCACAUCGGGACUGAGACACGGCCCGAACUCCUACGGGAGGCUG